rnacentral:lncRNA from 1 species
AUACCUUUUUUUUAUACGUAAUCUUUUGCAAUAAGUCUUACCUUGGAGCACUGUCGUAAUACGUGAAGUCUUGCUUGAGAAUGCUCUGAGCACCUGGCUGUAGAAGGAAGAAUGGAAAUUGUAAUAACAAAAUCUUAAUUCUAAUAGAAUAAUAACAAUGCUCUAAUUAGACUAUAAUAAUACUAAGCAAGCUUAAUCAAAUUCAAAAAACCUCAAAGAAAUUUAAAAAAAAAAUAGGAAUUUUUAAAGAAACAUUAGAAAGAACACAAAUGUCAUUCAAAUACAUCUCAAUUCAAUCUUAAUUUAAUUCUAGUUAAAAUCCUAUUGAACUUCAUUCAGACUUUAGGCCAAAACUAAUUGAAUCUUAAAUCCUAAUAAAAUCCUAAAUCCUAAAUCAAACCUCAAUAAAAUCCUAAAUCAAAUCCUAAUCCAAACCCUAAAUCCUAAACCAAAUCCUAAAUCCUAAAUCAAAUCUUAACCAAAUCCUAAACCCUAAACCAAACCCUAAUCAAAUCCUAAACCCUAAAUCAAAUUCUAUCCAAAUCCUAAAUCCUAAACCAAAUCCUAACCAAAUUCUAAAUCUUAAAUCAAACCCUAAUCCAAAUCCUAAACUCCAAACCAAAUCUUAACCAAAUCCUAAACCAAAUCCUAAUAAUUCCUAUAACAGAUUUAAACCUCAAUAACUAAUGAAUAAAUUGUUGAUCUUAACUCAAAU